UACAGAGGUCUCAAGCGUUGUUCGGAUUCAUUGGGCGUAAAGGGUGCGUAGGCGGCGCGGUAAGUCGGGUGUGAAAUCUCGGAGCUUAACUCCGAAACUGCAUUCGAUACUGCCGUGCUUGAGGACUGGAGAGGAGACUGGAAUUUACGGUGUAGCGGUGAAAUGCGUAGAUAAUCGUAAGGAAGAUCAGUGGCGAAGGCGGGUCUCUGGACAGUUCCUGACGCUGAGGCACGAAGGCCAGGGGAGCAAACGGG
rnacentral:rRNA from 1 species